UCUUAUACAUAAACACGUGUCUAUGGAAGAUGAAAGCCUUCAUCUACGUUACUAUUCAUCUGGCGAAGAUGAAUACAGCAGCAAAAGUCAGAAAGGGGAAACAACAACCAAUGAUAAUAUGGCAGGAGCAUGUGGCGGGCCAGAGGAUAUACCCGAUGAGUCCAUGAGUGCUUUGGAAUGCAGUAGAGUAACAGUCAGUCGCUUUAGUACACCGUCAAUUCGAAGUUAUUCUAAUACCCCAACCAAUUUGGCAAGUACACCAUGUUCCAGCAGGACAAUCAUUCCGACUUUCCUUAGAACACCUUUAUCCGGAGAAGUUCGUUCUAGCAGGUCACUUACUUCUGUCACAGAGGGUAUAUCAAGAAAAGAACAGACUACAGCAUCAGCAAACAAGAUUGACACUUUAACAAAGAAGUCAUCUAAAUGAAAAGGCAACUGGUAAAAGUGCAAGAAAAACAAAUUAAUGUUGAAAAGAAAGUGGAUAUUAUGAUUCAAAUACUACAAUCAAAAACAAAUGAACGAAAAAAGGGAAGCCAAAAGAUUAACGUCCCUGCACAAAUUGCACAAUCAAGAAGGGAUGGUUAUCAGCAGGGUAUUACUGAAAAGGAUUUCAUCUGGAGAAUAAAGAACGAAACUGGCAGUAUUUCAAAAGAACAAAGAGAAGUCUGGAUUCAUCAUAGAAUUUGUAAAAGGCCCAAUAUCCUGAUGAAGUGGAGGGUGUUGUUAGAGGAUGGAUAAAGACAAAUUUUGAAUCGUUCAAAGCAAAGAAACGAAGAGACGAAACUGGUAAACAAAAAGAACAUAACAGGAAAAUGGCUGUGUACAGCAAGAUGAGAAGAAAAUUAAACAACAGAAAAGAGGCCAUAAAAGUAAAAGUCCAGUAUACCAGAGGAACAAAAAGAAAAGGGCUCGAAAAGCCUUGUGGUGCAGAACAUGUCUUAUGAACAAACAGAUUCAUAAGACGAAGGAUCGUUUAUCGUCAGACCUCUGCCAUGGAGGUCUGACGAUGUUGAUAAAUUAGUAAAAAAAAACUAAGCCAAAAGCAUGAUGAUCAACUAACCAAGAGAAGCAGACGGCAGCACCAUAAACGAAAGGUUGGGGCAGUUUCCUCAAGGAUAAAACCAGAAGUCGUGCCAGGACAUGAAUGGGUGUUUAAAUAGUUUAAAAAUAAUGUCAAUGAUUAAACUUUAUUCGUUUUAAGUAUGCAAGUUUUACCGACCAAAGUAAAUGCUACAUGUAAUUGUUAAUAAUUUUUACACAAUUAUUUGUCCAAAACUAAAAAAACAAAAAAUCUGAUAUAUCGUUCUAUUCUUAUAUUAACAUAUUUCAGUCAUCACGAAAUCAAAUAGAUGCGAACAGAAAGAGAAAAAAUACAUCUUCAUGUCGGAUGUCAACAUACCGUCUUCAACAACAACAAGCGGUUCGAAGGGGAACGUUUUUCAUAAAAAAUAGUAAAGAAAAGUGCUUCGCGAAACAACAGUAAUACUAUUGUCGUAAUGGGCAAAACUAUUUAAAAAUAACACGAACAAUGUACAUUUCAUUGGCAAAACAAAAUAUAAUAACUUUUUUGAUUUGUAACCUAGCAUCACGGAAAAUAAAUGUUAAAAAAAUAUUUUUUUAUAGAAUCUUCAUUUUUAGAUGGAAAAUCUUGUUUUUUUUUAUAAAUAUGGAAGUGAUACCGAGAAAAUAAGCAGUGUAUUAUUUGCACAUAGUAGUAAAAAAAAAGAAAACAAAAUGGUAAUUCUUCGAAAUAGUAAGAAACUUGGUAUAUAUUAAAUUUCAAUGUUUUAAAUAUUUCUGUUGUGCGUAAUUAUACAAUAUAAACAAGAAAAAAACUAGAUAGCAGUAAAUUUUAUCUGGUACCCUGAUAUAAGCAAUCAUACAAUGCAUGUAUACAACAGUUGGUUUUACAUUUAAAAUCCUUGUUUUAGUUGUGAAGCUCUUCAUUGUGUAUUUUUUAUAUUAUAUUGAUGUCCACGCGAGCAUAAUCAAAUAUAUAUUUUGAAAUUAAUUGCACUGAUAAAACAUAUAGACAUGUACCUGGGAUCUUAUAUGUGAAUUUUUUUUUUCUUCAAUUGAUUAAAAACAGUAAGCAAUGAAAGGGAAACAACUCUUGUUAAAAUAAGAAUAUUUUUCGUAUCUUUAAAAAUUGAAGAAAUUUGUUGUUGGUUUUUAGC